UACGUAGGGGCAAGCGUUGUCCGGAUUUAUUGGGCGUAAAGAGCGUGUAGGCGGCCAUGCAGGUCAGCUGUGAAAACUCGAGGCUCAACCUCGAGACGUCGGUUGAAACCGUAUGGCUAGAGUCCGGAAGAGGAGAGUGGAAUUCCCGGUGUGAGCGGUGAAAUGCGCAGAUAUCGGGAAGAACACCGGUGGCGAAGGCGGAUCUCUGGGCCAUUACUGACGCUGAGGAGCGAAAGCGUGGGGAGCGAACGAGG
rnacentral:rRNA from 1 species